GGGUCAGUAGGUUGGUCGUGCCACCGGUACGUACUGGUCUCACUGAUUCCCCCUUCCUGAAGAACCGUAAUGCCAUUAAUUUGGUGUUGCGGGGAAACAGGACCGUUACUUUGAAAAAAUUAGAGUGUUUAAAGCAAGCUAACGCUUGAAUACAUUAGCAUGGAAUAAUGAAAUAGGACGAUCGAUCCUAUUUUGUUGGUUUCUAGGAUUGACGUA
rnacentral:rRNA from 1 species